AUCUUAUUAACAUCGAUUAGUAGGUGUACCUUUUGUAUCCUUCAGUGAAUACAUAAUCAACCUAGCAUCCCUAAGUAGAUGCUCAAACACUCAUUAGUAGGUGUUGAUAUUCCUUUUUUCUUGAUAUUCUUUUCUUUUUCUUGUUUCUAUUGAAUUUCUUCAGAAAGUUGAGAACACCAAGCACCUGUUUCCAUGUCCCAAUCAUAGGAACUUUAAUCUCCAAUUUCUUGAAGAUUUCCAUAUAUCUCCAAAGUUUCUUUUCCUUCCUAUGAUAUUUCUUUUGAUGAGGAAGAGAUUUUUCAUAUGAUCUUUUCUUCUUUCCUCUCUUCCUCUUUUUCUCACUCUUCUCCUCCCUCAACUUUUGUCUUUUUCUUUUCUCUUACUUUCCUUUUUUUUCACAUUUUUUCUCUUUUUUUCUUUUUUUACUUUUUUCUUUAUUUUCACGCAUUUUCUCUAUUUUUCUUUUCUAUCAACCAUUUCUUUUUCUUUUUCCUCAUCUUUUUCUUCUUCACUUAACUUUUUUGUCUUCAUCUCCUCAUCAACAACCUUAUCACUUUCAAAGAUAAUGGCUUCACACUCCUCCUUAAGGUUAACUUCAGUACUAACCCUAAAAUCAUCCAGAGAUGCAGUCACGCAACCCAAUUCUGUCUCGUUCCUUUU
rnacentral:lncRNA from 1 species